UAACAGAGACACAGAGGACCAAACUAUUAAGAUCAACAGAAACUUUAUAUAUAUAUAUAUAUAUAUAAGGUGAUUAUAUUAUAUUAUAUUAUAUAGAUAUAUCUGAGGGAGUGAUGGGAGCUGAUUUAUGAAAACACAUAAAACCAGUAGAGGAAGACAACAGAGAAAGAUUGAACUAAAUGGGUCCUGCGCCUGAGGGAGGAAUCGACCAUAAACCCGGAACGGAGGAUUUCACUGAGAACUGGAGACAUGAAUC
rnacentral:lncRNA from 1 species